rnacentral:rRNA from 1 species
CGUAGGGGGCAAGCGUUGUCCGGAUUUAUUGGGCGUAAAGAGCGUGUAGGCGGUUAUACAGGUCCGCUGUGAAAACUGGAGGCUUAACCUCCAGACGUCGGUGGAAACCGUAUAACUAGAGUCCGGAAGAGGAGAGUGGAAGUUCCUGGUGUAGCGGUGAAAUGCGCAGAUAUCAGGAAGAACACCCGUGGCGAAGGCGGCUCUCUGGGACCGGUACUGACGCUGAGACGCGAAAGCGUGGGGAGCGGACAGGAUUAGAUACCCUGGUAGUCCACGCCGUAAACGAUGGGUGCUAGGUGUGGGGGGUGUCGACUCCCUCCGGUAGUCCGCAGCUAACGCAUUAAGCACCCCGCCUGGGGAGUACGGCCGCAAGGACUA